AAGUUAUCCUGGCUCAGGACGAACGCCUGGCGGCGUGCCUAAUACAUGCAAGUCGAGCGGACAGAAGGGAGCUUGCUCCCGGAUGUUAGCGGCGGACGGGUGAGUAACACGUGGGUAACCUGCCUGUAAGACUGGGAUAACUCCGGGAAACCGGAGCUAAUACCGGAUAGUUCCUUGAACCGCAUGGUUCAAGGAUGAAAGACGGUUUCGGCUGUCACUUACAGAUGGACCCGCGGCGCAUUAGCUAGUUGGUGAGGUAACGGCUCACCAAGGCGACGAUGCGUAGCCGACCUGAGAGGGUGAUCGGCCACACUGGGACUGAGACACGGCCCAGACUCCUACGGGAGGCAGCAGUAGGGAAUCUUCCGCAAUGGACGAAAGUCUGACGGAGCAACGCCGCGUGAGUGAUGAAGGUUUUCGGAUCGUAAAGCUCUGUUGUUAGGGAAGAACAAGUGCAAGAGUAACUGCUUGCACCUUGACGGUACCUAACCAGAAAGCCACGGCUAACUACGUGCCAGCAGCCGGGAUAAA
rnacentral:rRNA from 1 species